rnacentral:lncRNA from 1 species
ACGGGGUGACAUGGGCUGACACAGGGUGACACGAGGUGACACGAGGUGACACGGGUGACAGUCGCACCGUGGCUGCGGGUGUCAUUGGGGUGACACGGGGUGGCAUUGAGGUGACAUGGGGUGACACAAGGUGACACGGGUGACAGUCGCACCGUGGCUGCGGGUGUCAUUGGGGUGACACGGGGUGGCAUUGAGGUGACA